rnacentral:tRNA from 1 species
GACGAGGUGGCCGAGUGGUUAAGGCGAUGGACUGCUAAUCCAUGUGUUGUGCUUACGCAUGGGUUCAAAUCCCAUCCUCGUCG